rnacentral:rRNA from 1 species
GACGAACGCUGGCGGCGUGCCUAAUACAUGCAAGUAGAACGCUGAAGGAGGAGCUUGCUUCUCUGGAUGAGUUGCGAACGGGUGAGUAACGCGUAGGUAACCUGCCUGGUAGCGGGGGAUAACUAUUGGAAACGAUAGCUAAUACCGCAUAAGAGUAGAUGUUGCAUGACAUUUGCUUAAAAGGUGCAAUUGCAUCACUACCAGAUGGACCCGCGUUGUAUUAGCUAGUUGGUGGGGUAACGGCUCACCAAGGCGACGAUACAUAGCCGACCUGAGAGGGUGAUCGGCCACACUGGGACUGAGACACGGCCCAGACUCCUACGGGAGGCAGCAGUAGGGAAUCUUCGGCAAUGGACGGAAGUCUGACCGAGCAACGCCGCGUGAGUGAAGAAGGUUUUCGGAUCGUAAAGCUCUGUUGUAAGAGAAGAACGAGUGUGAGAGUGGAAAGUUCACACUGUGACGGUAUCUUACCAGAAAGGGACGGCUAACUACGUG